rnacentral:rRNA from 1 species
GUAGGCGGUUUAAUAAGUGAAUAGUGAAACCUGGUGGCUCAACCAUACAGACUAUUAUUCAAACUUGUUAAACUCGAGAAUGGUAGAGGUAACUGGAAUUUCUAGUGUAGGAGUGAAAUCCGUAGAUAUUAGAAGGAACACCGAUGGCGUAGGCAGGUUACNUGGGCCAUUUCUGACGCUAAGGCACGAAAGCGUGGGGAGCGAACCGGAUUAGAUACCCGGGUAGUCCACGCCGUAAACGAUGGAUACUAGCUGUUGGAGGUAUCGACCCCUUCAGUAGCGAAGCUAACGCGUUAAGUAUCCCGCCUGUGGAGUACGGCCGCAAGGCUAAAACAUAAAGGAAUUGACGGGGACCCGCACAAGCGGUGGAUUAUGUUCUUUAAUUCGAUGAUAACCGAAGAACCUUACCAGGGCUUGACAUCCAGGGAAGGUCUGCGAAAGUAGACUGUGCCUUUUGGAACCCUGUGACAGGUGAUGCAUGGCCGUCGUCAGCUCGUGUCGUGAGAUGUUAGGUUAAGUCCUUCAACGAGCGCAACCCUUGUGAAUAGUUGUAUUUUUCUAUUCAGACUGCCCCGGUAACGGGGAGGAAGGAGGGGAUGAUGUCAGGUCAGUAUUUCCCUUACGUCCUGGGCUAGAAACGUAAUACAAUGGCUAGUACAAUGCGCAGCGAA